UGCGCCUUCUGCCAAUCCGGAUGCCGCUUGGCAGUGAUAGGCGCCAGCGAGUGGCCAAUGAGAAGAAGGCCACUGCCGCGAGUGGGCGUGUCCACACCCCCUCUCCCUCCUCUGCGCGGUCCUCCAGCCCGCCCGACUCAGGGCUGUUUUGAGGGUUAAAUGAGUGAACGCACAGAAAGCACUUGAAACAGUAAGCCCUCUUUCAGUAAAAGAUGUUACUAUGACAAUCAUCUUUACACAGGCUCUCAGUAGCCAAAGAAGUAGCCUCUGGAGUGACCUGUGGACUUCAGCAAGAGAAGGCCUGCAUCAGGCCUUACAGCAUGGCACACGGCUCUGGGUGCUUCAGGUCAUUGCUCUGUCUCUCCUACUGGACAAGGCAUUGCCUCAAGGGCAGCGAUCAUCUCAUUACCAUAUUUUGAUCUCCUCGGCAUCUGCCAUAGCAAAGCUGUCUAGAGAAGUGAUGAUAUCCAACCUGUGUGUGUGUGUAUGUGUGGUGUAUGCCUUUAACAUCGCUGGAGAUUGAACCCAGAGCCUCAUACAAGCAUUCUACCACUGAGAAUGCUGUGAACAGAAGUCUGACUUCAGCAUGAGUGGAUCAAAAUUGCACACAUGAAGCACCAGGCAGCCUAGUCCUCUUUUUCCAGCAACAAGGGGACCUUCUCAACAUGGUGGUUUCAAGACAGCCAGGAGAACCAUGCUGCCUCCAGAAAUCGCUGCUCUACCCAAAGCCUGAGAUUCCCAGCUAGAUACAUAAUUACAUCGGUAGAGACCACAUUUUCCAGCUUCCCUUACAACUACAAGUGGUUAAAUGGCAGAAGCGAUGUGUCUGGAACUCCAAUGUGGUACUGAUAAGCUAGUUGUGACCAAGAGCAGGAGACGGAGCAAUAAUUUUGGACACAAAGGUGAAAGCUCUAUGCAGAAGAUGGGUUCUGGGCCCUUGAAGACCGUCACAGAGCCAAGAGUGUCCUUCCUCUUUUGCAGAGUUGUAUGCGAG
rnacentral:lncRNA from 1 species